GUCCCUUUAACUGCAACCAGAAGGUAAAACUUAGAUGUCCUUGUAAAAGAAUAAAAAAGGAAUUGCAGUGCAACAAAGUACGUGAAAAUCAGGUUUCAAUAGAAUGUGACACAACGUGCAAGGAAAUGAAGCGGAAAGCAUCUGAGGUAAUAUAAAAGAAGCAGAAGCCAAAGCUGCUCUUGAAGAAGAAAAACGAAGACAACAGGCUGAACUAGAAGCUUUUGAAAACAGACUGAAGGGUCGUCGGAAGAAGAACAGGAAAAGAGAUGAAGUGGCAGUUGAGCUAUCACUAUGGCAAAAACAUAAAUAUUAUCUCAUUUCAGUGUGUGGAGUUGUGGUUGUAGUGUUUGCCUGGUACAUCACCCAUGAUGUCAAUUAAAAAAAGUUUUGAUCUUUUAAUGUAACUCAGAUUGGAUUUAGAUAAGUUGUUAAAUUUGAAAUAUUAGAAAAUGUAUAUUAUAGAACAUGAUAUAUAUUUACAUUCAUCUCUGUAUUCUCUCAGCUGUUGUUAGAAGGACAGAAUGUUAAACUUUAUCUUAAUUAGUAUACUAGAAAGGGCAGUAUAAUACUGUUUUAAAGUGAAGGCAUGACUGAAACUAAAAUAUUUCAUAAGGCUUAGCUAGAGGCAGAGUAACGUGUUUUUGUUCAUUGGGCUUCCUUGUACUUAGUUUUUUCAUUUAAUAAUUCAAACCAACACUUUUAAAAAAAUAAUUCAGAUGAGACUGAGCCAUAUCUGCAGUAAGAGAAAUAUUUCUUAAUGUUUUGGUUACUUAUGAUAGAGUACUUUUCUUGAUACUGUUAACUUUGUGCUUUUUAAAAAAAGUGAUUCUCUAACAGACCUCUUAAAUUGUGACAUGAAGGUAUGUAAUUAGAUUUCAGAAAUUGGUUUAUUAGUGAGGAAUUUUUAUCAAUAAAUGUCAUGGGGCGUGUUCUUCAGAAUAUAUAGUUAUUUUCAACAAAUGCCAGGCUAGAUUCCUCACAUGUGGCUAUUUCUUAUGUAAGAAGCUUUUAACUGAAGUUGGCAUGUUUCGUAAAACUUGCGUGUCUUUUAAAAAUAAUAAAAGGAAGAUGAGUAUUUAUGAAGAAUAUGUGCUGACAACAGGGCUUAUGAGGUCUAUGUACCUUAAUCUCGUUUCUCCUUACCACAAUCUUAAAUAGAUUUCAGCUGAAAAUAAUCAGUUCUUAUGAAAACAAAUAGAGAAAUAUCAGUAAGUCAAAUCUGUUUGAAUUAUAAUUCCUUUCAAAUAGUUUUGCUAUUUAAUUUAUAUGAUUAAUGUUUUCAUUAAAAUUUUU
rnacentral:lncRNA from 1 species